rnacentral:rRNA from 1 species
CCUACGGGAGGCAGCAGUGGGGAAUAUUGGGCAAUGGGCGCAAGCCUGACCCAGCAACGCCGCGUGAAGGAAGAAGGCUUUCGGGUUGUAAACUUCUUUUGUCAGGGAAGAGUAGAAGACGGUACAUGACGAAUAAGCUCCGGCUAACUACGUGCCAGCAGCCGCGGUUAUACGUAGGUGGCAAGCGUUGUCCGGAUUGACUGGGUGUAAAGGGCGUGUAGCCGGGCUGACAAGUCAGAUGGGAAAUCCUGCGGCUUAACCGCAGAACUGCAUUUGAAACUGUUGAUCUUGAGUACUGGAGAGGCAGACGGAAUUCCUAGUGUAGCGGUGAAAUGCGUAGAUAUUAGGAGGAACACCAGUGGCGAAGGCGAUCUGCUGGACAGCAACUGACGGUGAGGCGCGAAAGCGUGGGGAGCAAACAGGAUUAGAUACCCGGGUAGUC